rnacentral:lncRNA from 1 species
UUUUUUUUUUUAAGGAACAAUGGAAUCCAAAGUAAACUCACGUGAGGAGCACAGAUUUUGGACUAACACUCUCUAGCCAAUAACCAUUGACCACAUCACCACCACAAGCACCUCUUUUGAGAUAUGGCAUUCCCCCUUUUAUAUAUAUGUUAAUUAAUUAACAAAAGAGUAAUUCUUAAUUGUUCUCAACGAAGGCAGAGAAAAGGAUUGAAUUAGAAAAAUCAUAGUGGCCUUGGAUGAGGGAGAUAGCUAUAAGAUGGGUUGGUACUUUUCAACUUUGCCAACAAUAGAAGAAUCGAAGCUCGGGCCUUGGGUUUUGCCAGGGGAUUUUUCUAUAGAAAAAGGAGAGGAAGAGGAAGAGUGGGAGGCAGAGUUUCUUGUCGAUUUUGGCACUGAAAAAUAAUAGAUAGAAACAUGAAAUAAACAAAUAAACAGGGUAAAGAAAAUAUAGGGAAAAAAAGUAGUUAAGCAAAGCAAACAAAAGAAAGAAUUACAAGAGAUGAGGAAAAACCGCGGAAGACCCUAUACAAAGUGGUUUAUGAAGGGAAUGAAAGCAAAGUUCCAAUUUUUGGACUUGCAAUACCACAAACAAUAAACAGAUUAGAUAGCCCAAAAAUAUCUUUUAAACGAAAAAAUCAUAAAAGAACUUUCUCAAAUUUGUUAAAUGCAUUCUGAUACUUUUUAGUUGCGAAAAAAAAUUAAGAUUCUUUCCAAUUUUUAUUUUUUUAAAAAGAUAACCAAAUAGAAUGCACGUUAUUAAAGGGGAAAAUUUUACAGAAUCUGAUGUUGGAAGAAAUUUCCAAUUUUUUGCACCUACAACAUAUAUAUACAAAUUAAUAUACAAAAAUUAGACUACUAAACCCCACAAAAAAUCCAAAAGGUUAGAGAAGUACUAAGCAAGAAGAAGAAAUUACAAUGCAAAAAAAUCAUGUGUCGUGCACAACAUCCUUUCACGACCAUUUUACAUGACUCAAUUAGGCUGAAAUUCCAUGUUUUUCUUUUAAGCUGCUUAUUUUUCUUCUCAUCUUCUACUUUUGAUCAGGAGAAAGAAUUUAAAAAAUUUACAAUAAAAAAUGCAUAGCAAACUUUACCACGAUAGCUAGCUAGCUUAUUUACCACAAUCACAGGCAUAGUAGUAGAAGAUAAAGACAAGCAAAUCACUGAGCUUUCUCCUUAAUGCUUCCUAAUUCUCCCCCUUCAGUUAGAAAAUUACACAAAAUACUUGCAUGCAUAACCAAUAAUAAAACAAAAUGUUUCCAUAGUUUACAAUCAAUGCCAAAGUAAUGCAAUAGUUUCAUUAGAAAUGAUUUGACCUUUUUUAUUUGAUAAAAACUCAAGACUAUGAUUCUUUGCGAGCCUUAGCUCAUUUUAUUCUUAAGCACAUUUAUUUUGUUAUAGCUAUGUCACCUUAAGUUGAAUCACAAUUUUCAUUCUCAAGGUGAAUUGUGAAAAAUCUUUUGCAAAUUAAAAGAAAGUCACCACCAGAAAAAAUAACAAUACCUCACCAUGUAAAGUGCAAAUGAGUGAAACUCUUUUAUUACCAGAAGUACUAAAAGCAUAUUAAAGAAAAUAGUAGAAGAAAAAUGCUUAAAUCCAAACAACACUUCUGCCUCAUAGAAAGAGAAAAUUCCACCAUUCAUUUCACAAGCACAAAAUGAGAUUUAUCAUUAAUUUUUUG